rnacentral:tRNA from 1 species
GGGGGCGUAGCUCAGUUGGGAGAGCAUCGGCUUUGCAAGCCGAGGGUCGUCGGUUCAAGUCCGUCCGCCUCCA